rnacentral:rRNA from 1 species
ACUGGAAACGGUAGCUAAUACCGCAUAACGUCGCAAGACCAAAGUGGGGGACCUUCGGGCCUCAUGCCAUCAGAUGUGCCCAGAUGGGAUUAGCUAGUAGGUGGGGUAACGGCUCACCUAGGCGACGAUCCCUAGCUGGUCUGAGAGGAUGACCAGCCACACUGGAACUGAGACACGGUCCAGACUCCUACGGGAGGCAGCAGUGGGGAAUAUUGCACAAUGGGCGCAAGCCUGAUGCAGCCAUGCCGCGUGUGUGAAGAAGGCCUUCGGGUUGUAAAGCACUUUCAGCGGGGAGGAAGGCGAUAAGGUUAAUAACCUUGUCGAUUGACGUUACCCGCAGAAGAAGCACCGGCUAACUCCGUGCCAGCAGCCGCGGUAAUACGGAGGGUGCAAGCGUUAAUCGGAAUUACUGGGCGUAAAGCGCACGCAGGCGGUCUGUCAAGUCGGAUGUGAAAUCCCCGGGCUCAACCUGGGAACUGCAUUCGAAACUGGCAGGCUAGAGUCUUGUAGAGGGGGGUAGAAUUCCAGGUGUAGCGGUGAAAUGCGUAGAGAUCUGGAGGAAUACCGGUGGCGAAGGCGGCCCCCUGGACAAAGACUGACGCUCAGGUGCGAAAGCGUGGGGAGCAAACAGGAUUAGAUACCCUGGUAGUCCACGCCGUAAACGAUGUCGAUUUGGAGGUUGUGCCCUUGAGGCGUGGCUUCCGGAGCUAACGCGUUAAAUCGACCGCCUGGGGAGUACGGCCGCAAGGUUAAAACUCAAAUGAAUUGACGGGGGCCCGCACAAGCGGUGGAGCAUGUGGUUUAAUUCGAUGCAACGCGAAGAACCUUACCUGGUCUUGACAUCCACAGAACUUUCCAGAGAUGGAUUGGUGCCUUCGGGAACUGUGAGACAGGUGCUGCAUGGCUGUCGUCAGCUCGUGUUGUGAAAUGUUGGGUUAAGUCCCGCAACGAGCGCAACCCUUAUCCUUUGUUGCCAGCGGUCCGGCCGGGAACUCAAAGGAGACUGCCAGUGAUAAACUGGAGGAAGGUGGGGAUGACGUCAAGUCAUCAUGGCCCUUACGACCAGGGCUACACACGUGCUACAAUGGCAUAUACAAAGAGAAGCGACCUCGCGAGAGCAAGCGGACCUCAUAAAGUAUGUCGUAGUCCGGAUUGGAGUCUGCAACUCGACUCCAUGAAGUCGGAAUCGCUAGUAAUCGUAGAUCAGAAUGCUACGGUGAAUACGUUCCCGGGCCUUGUACACACCGCCCGUCACACCAUGGGAGUGGGUUGCAAAAGAAGUAGGUAGCUUAACCUUCGGGAGGGCGCUUACCACUUUGUGAUUCAUGACUGGGGUGAAGUCGUAACAAGGUAACCGUAGGGGAACCUGCGGUUGGAUCACCU